ensembl:lncRNA
AGGUUAAACGUCCUUUAAACAAAGCUUUUAUAACCUGAUUUAAGAUGCCAGCACCCCACCCUUCCUGCUGCUGGGUGCCUUGGCCCCAAGCAGAGAUUCUCCCUCCUCUCCCAGGCACCCAUGGAGCUGUGCUCCCUAUUUCCAGUCUCUCGUAGAAAAUCUUCAGAGUAGAAAGGAGAGGAUCUGGGAGGUGGAAGAAAUAACAGAUGUGCUGCUGUGCUGGAGACGUUUCCAGGCUGAACCCCUCCGCACCCCUCCCAACAUCAGUAUUCUGCUUGUUGUCCCCACCGGCCAGCAUGAACUGCCCUGAUGUCUUCUUGCUGUGAAUUCAUGCCUUCGUGAGGAAUAAAUACUCACGAGGCUUCCAAGAGGGACAUUCCCGAAGCCGGUGCUGUGCAGCAGGCUUAGCGUAUUUUGCCUUUCCUGGCUCAAGCACUCACAGGGCACUGUUCCCCUAUAGAAUCAUCUCUUAGCAUUGCCAGCCUCCACAAUUUUGCACAGAAAUGGGACCAGAAGUGCUGUGCCUGGACACGAGAAGAUCUCUUAAAAAACGUUUUAACCCAUCUGCCAAGCAACUGCUUCAAAUUAUAUUUUGUGAUAAAAGCAAAUGAAGCGUAAUUGAGAAGAGACAAGAGAAUCUUGCCCUGAGAACAGAGCGAUAAGAAACGCGUUGUGACAACGGUGCGAUGUAUAUCGUUACUCUGCAGUGCACCAAACGUCCCCGCUGCCCCAGAGCUGUGACUGUGCUGUGGGGAGGGCAGCUGGCUGCUGUGGUCGUGAAGCUGAAGAUGUGCCUUCCUCCUCCUGUGUGAGACCGCUCCUCUAAGCCUUACACACGUUGCUGGAAGACUUAGGCCAACCAGCUGCCAGGAAUGAGGCAAAAAAGGCACUGAGAUGCUCCUGGAGAUGCUGCUUAAAGAACAAAUGUCAGACAGAGAUGCCUGCUGCAGGUAUGCAAGCUGCCCAACCUGCAGCCUGUUCCAGCACUCCGGCUCAGUACUGUGGACCGGGUGCAUGGCAGCACCUUGCAAAGGAGCAGCACGAGGACAAGCAUCACUCUGCGCUGCAGGGAGGGACCUGCCUCCAUCUCCCAUGGGGGUUGACCUUGUGGCUGCCCUGCUCUCUCCAUCGCUGAGCACAGAUCCCAGCCUGGAAGCUGCACUCAUGUCAGCUGGAUGGAGCGGGAGCUGCUGCUGCCUCGGCUGCUCUUCGUUGUGCCUGCAAAGCAUAUUUAAAUGGAAGUUCACUGCCCUCCUGGGCACAUGGAUUUGGUAAUGAAACCCCCAGAGGUGAGGAAGGAGUCAACAGACAGACCCAUAUGGGCAACACUGGAGGAUUAUGUGCAGGAACGCCACGAGGCUUUUGCUACCACCAGAUAAACCCUCCGCAUGUGUCUCUGAGGUUCCAGCUGAAGAUGUCUGCUCAGAAACGGUAAACGUGUUUGAAUAGCACUCUGUGUGUGCAGAGGCUCAAUAAGAAGCAUGCACUUCCUUUGCUGUGGAGCAGAAGGUCUCUGAACCCACAUCCUGCACUCCUCGGAGCCAUCAGGACGCUGCCGUUAGCUCUGUGGGAGCAGAAAGGAGCACUUAUGUGGCAUCAUGACAUGCUGCUGCAGAACGAGCCCAUUACCGCAGGAAAACACCAGCAGGGCAUCCUCUGUGUCAUACAAGAGGAAAGGGUAGGAAAUGAAACGCUGCUACGAUGUGUGAGGAAAAUGGGUCACCUACUUUGUGUGAGGAAGCACGCAGGAUGCUCACAGUGUGUUUCAAUGUGCAGUGCCUGGUUUGGAGCAGCUGGGAUGUGGUUUUGCAGCCCAAGGUUCAGAAAGCAGCGCCGUGCUCUGUGCUGCCUGCUGGCCAUCGGCUGUGCAGCAAAGCUUUGGUGCUUCAAGGAGAGGGUGAGAUGCUCUGCAAGAUUUGAAAACGUCCCGAUUUUUAUUCCUGAAGAGUUAAAUGACGUGGAUUUACACUGACAUACGCAUACAGGCAGCUUUUUUCCCCCCCCAGCAGGUACAGAAGUGAGUGCCUGGUGUGACACCUGUGAACGGAGCUGCACAAAGCAGCAGUGACAGCGUGGUUCCCGCAGCAGAACUCAGUGCCACGCUGCUGCUCACUGCUCCAGCUUCCCUUCUCCUGGCACUGCCUCAGAGUACAGCUUCAUCCGGAGAUGCCAAUGGUGUGACAACACGGAGCUGCAGCAGGUGCAAUGCUGCGGGGCUGCAUUGUGCCUCCAUCACCAUCCCAACCCUCCAUCACCACAGCAGCCUCCUUUGCCUGCCCACAGAUGCACAGACAUGGCUAUAAAGGGAGCUGCCAGUGCUGUGGCUUGGCCUUGUGUAGCCCUGGUCCUUCUGUGCCCCAGGAUGCCCAAACCUGCUGCUGGUGGCAUUGCAGGGGGCUGAGGCAGCAGCCGUCCUUCUCAGCUUCCAGGAGAAGACCAGAAGGCAGCUGAGCAUCCCUGCCAUGCUCUGACAGGAGCUUACACCUGGAAAGCAUUGGCAGGAAAGCAGUGAAGUCAUCGCAGGUCAAACGCUGAGUGUUGCUUAAAAAGGGAAGUUCGGACUAUGGACACGUGAACAAAUUGCCCUAAGGAUCCCACGUACCAACUGAUGUGUGAGAACCACUUCUUAUCUGCACUGAGAACCAGCCCAUGCAAGGUCAGUUUAGAAAGGAGACUUGCCUGGGAUUUUGCUCUGAGGUUUGGCCACCCAGUCCCCAUUACAGCUGAGCGUGGGAUUUUGCUGUAGAAAGGUGCUGAUUCUGCCAGAAUGCAAAACGUGUGCUGACAUCGGUGG